ACUAACAUUUCCUAGACAUCUCCGCCGAGUUACAUUUUUUCUCUUUCUUUCUCUUUCUUGUGUAGUUUUUUCCAAAAUUCUCACAAAUAGGUUGUCCUAAAAACCCAAAAUGGUAUCUAUACACUUGGGGAUAGAGCUUGAUUUUUCAAAUUCCAAUCAUUCUCUUCCAAAAAAAUUUUCUAAUUCUCAAACCAAAUAAUUUUCUUUGCCUACAAAAUCCUAAUUUGUCUUCUUAAUUUCGUCAUGAAACUCCAUCAUUCAUCAGUAUUGCAUUUUAUAUAGCUUGUGAGAUUUCGUUACUACUCAAAUUGUAAGCAAACAGAAACGGGGCUUCGUAAGAUAUAUUGGAUGAUCUACAGACAACAGUGAAGGGAUUGUAAAGGUUUGGAGAUUCAGUUACAGACUAUUUUGGUUGCUCAAGAUUUGGGAGUGGGAUUCUUAAACAUGUGGUGGAGAUGCAGGUCCACACAAAUCUGCUCAAGUCAGACUUAGUAGGUGUUUGGGUUUGCUGUUCGGGUUCAUCAGUGAAAAUUAGAUGUUCUUAUGAUUUAGAACGGUACCAUUGAUGGCUCCUGUUUUGAAUUUUUUGGCUUCUGCUUCAACUCCAUGCGGCAACGUUUGUUGAGCCAAUAGGAUCCUUGCCUGUCAAUUUGACUAAGUGCCAUCUGCUGUAGAAUUGGCCUACAUCAAAUCUGUUAAAGAGAAAGACUAUUAUUCGAGUAAUACCGUCUCUCCUGCUUUGUGACCUGUUAGAAUUUUAGCCUGAAGUACAUGUUUACCGCAUUUAGUAACCAAUAAUCUGGUACCAUUGCAAAGACCCUCGGAUGGAGACAGAUUUCUCAUCAGGAUAAUUGGACAUCCGAUUUUAAGAUUUAGCCUGAAUAAGGGCAUUCCUGGUGGAUUUAAAUUCUGUAGAAAUUUGCUGCUAUAAUUUGGGAUUAUGCCACUUUCGUCGGGAUUCAAUCUGUCUGCGGCUAAAUAAGUGAACGUCUCUCCGACCAAAAUAUUCAAUGCUUCCAUGUUAAUAUCGUUAACAUCAUCAUUACGUGCUGAUAAAAUGAUUCUCUCGGUUAAUUCUUCAGGUGAUACUUGAUUAGAUGUCCCUAAAGAGGGGUACAGUUUAGAUAUCAACUCUUUCAUAUCUUGCCAUCUGUGUACUGAUGAAGGGAGUUGUACUUUUUCUUCUGCUUUUGAUCCGACUACCAUAAAUUGGUAUAACAUAUAAGUUAAAUAUUGUUUUUAAUACUUUUUUUCAUUA